rnacentral:rRNA from 1 species
GAUUAGUGGCGAACGGGUGAGUAACACGUGGGCAAUCUGCCCUUCACUCUGGGACAAGCCCUGGAAACGGGGUCUAAUACCGGAUACGACACGGGGUCGCAUGACCUCCGUGUGGAAAGCUCCGGCGGUGAAGGAUGAGCCCGCGGCCUAUCAGCUUGUUGGUGGGGUGAUGGCCUACCAAGGCGACGACGGGUAGCCGGCCUGAGAGGGCGACCGGCCACACUGGGACUGAGACACGGCCCAGACUCCUACGGGAGGCAGCAGUGGGGAAUAUUGCACAAUGGGCGAAAGCCUGAUGCAGCGACGCCGCGUGAGGGAUGACGGCCUUCGGGUUGUAAACCUCUUUCAGCAGGGAAGAAGCGAGAGUGACGGUACCUGCAGAAGAAGCGCCGGCUAACUACGUGCCAGCAGCCGCGGUAAUACGUAGGGCGCAAGCGUUGUCCGGAAUUAUUGGGCGUAAAGAGCUCGUAGGCGGCUUGUCGCGUCGGAUGUGAAAGCCCGGGGCUUAACCCCGGGUCUGCAUUCGAUACGGGCAGGCUAGAGUUCGGUAGGGGAGAUCGGAAUUCCUGGUGUAGCGGUGAAAUGCGCAGAUAUCAGGAGGAACACCGGUGGCGAAGGCGGAUCUCUGGGCCGAUACUGACGCUGAGGAGCGAAAGCGUGGGGAGCGAACAGGAUUAGAUACCCUGGUAGUCCACGCCGUAAACGUUGGGAACUAGGUGUGG